GCAUGAGUAGCUCAGGGCAGAGCGCCGGCCUUGUAAGCCGGAGGCCGAGGGUUAGUUCUCCCUCCUCGUGCU
rnacentral:tRNA from 1 species